UGGGGAAUUUUGGACAAUGGGCGCAAGCCUGAUCCAGCCAUGCCGCGUGAGUGAAGAAGGCCUUCGGGUUGUAAAGCUCUUUCGGCGGGGACGAAACGGUUCGUGACAACACCACGGACUAAUGACGGUACCCGCAUAAGAAGCACCGGCUAACUACGUGCCAGCAGCCGCGGUAAUACGUAGGGUGCAGGCGUUAAUCGGAAUUACUGGGCGUAAAGCGUGCGCAGGCGGUUUGUUAAGACAGGUGUGAAAUCCCCGGGCUUAACCUGGGAAUUGCGCUUGUAACUGGCAGGCUAGAGUGUGGCAGAGGGGGGUGGAAUUCCACGUGUAGCAGUGAAAUGCGUAGAUAUGUGGAGGAACACCGAUGGCGAAGGCAGCCCCCUGGGUUAACACUGACGCUCAUGCACGAAAGCGUGGGGAGCAAACAGGAUUAGAUACCCCCGUAGUCCCUGAGCGGGCUGGCAAGGCGCAU
rnacentral:rRNA from 1 species